GGCCUAACACAUGCAAGUCGAGCGGUAACAGGACUAGCUUGCUAGUUGCUGACGAGCGGCGGACGGGUGCGUAACACGUAGGAAUCUGCCCGGUAGUGGGGGAUAGCCCGGAGAAAUCCGGAUUAAUACCCCAUACGCCUUACGAGGGAAAGGAGGGGCCUCUUCGGAGCCUUUCGCUAUCGGAUGAGCCUGCGUCGGAUUAGCUAGUUGGUGGGGUAAAGGCCUACCAAGGCGACGAUCCGUAGCUGGUCUGAGAGGAUGAUCAGCCACACUGGGACUGAGACACGGCCCAGACUCCUACGGGAGGCAGCAGUGGGGAAUAUUGCACAAUGGGGGAAACCCUGAUGCAGCCAUGCCGCGUGUGUGAAGAAGGCUCUAGGGUUGUAAAGCACUUUCAGCGAGGAGGAAAGG
rnacentral:rRNA from 1 species